AUUUUUUCUUCUGAAAAAAACCCUACUCUCUCCGCCUCCCUCAGCUCUCUCUUUAUUCCUCAAACCUCAUCCUUACAAGCCAGUUUAAAGCUUUGUCUCUGUGUUUUUAACUGAAGAGCUGUGCUCCUCUGCCUCUCUCACUGAGUUCUCUCUACGUGUGUAACAGUGUCAUGGAUUCAAUGGAGCCUACACAACCUGAUGUUUGGUGGAAUAUUUCUAAGUUCCAUAUAAGGCACCAGGUACUCUUAGUUGAUUAUGAAGUUAGCAGAUGACCGUUCAAAUUCCUACCAAUCAGCAUCAAGUCCUUGCUAGGCAGUUGGAAUCACAUGGGUUGGGCAGCUCCAAGCCUCAUGAACAAUGUUGAGGAAAAGAGAAAGGCAAGCUCACACAGAAAAGUGCUGCAAAUUAUAGGAACCAAAUGUAUCACUGAGUUUUGUAUGAAAUGGGUGGAGACUAACCACCUCAGAACUGUCAAAGCUACACCAACUCAGACUGAUCCAUGGAUUGAUCUUUCCCAUUUUGUCAUUUGGCCUCGUUUUUGUGUAUCUAAAAAUUUCUUCUUUGUUUGUGUUUAUGGGCUGGCCCUUUUUGUGUUAUUUGGUUUAAGGCUCUCUUUUUUUUGUUGAAGUAUCUGAAUUUUAGUUGGUUGAAUUGUUAUUUGGAUUAUAAUUUGUUUUGUUGAUUGGUGUUAUUUUGGUUGGUUCUAUUUA